UCAUUUCAAGCAGACGCCAAGCAUCAAUAGCGUGGUCUGUGCUAUGUGAUUGCAUUGUUACUGCUGGAGUGAGCAAUUUCAGAUUGCGUCAUGAUGGCGUGCCCCGUUAGCGUCGUGAUCGGCGUGCCCUGUUAGCGUCAUGGUUGGCGUGCCCUGUGUUAGCGUCAUGAUUGGCGUGCCCUGUGUUAACACGAUAUGUUUUAUUUAUUCGUGUGCUGUGAUUUCAACACCAGCAUUGGUCAGAGGAGACUCGCAAGCAGCAAGGAAAGGAGGCUGCUCUUCAUCAGCCAGAAGUUUGAUACAAAGGAGUACACAAGUUGAUUUCAUUACUUAUAAGCAAAGUAAAUUUUUUGGAUAUAGAUGGGCAGCAAUUUUAUCGAGCCAUGACAUCUGAUUUCUGUUAUCCUGCUUAUGGUGACCUGUCAAUUGAUGAUAAGCCAAACCUAAGUUGCCUCUAGGAAUUAUGAAUGUCAAAUUUGGGACACAUCUGUGCAGUCUUUUUAUCGAGCUCUGACAUCUGAUUGCUAUGCUAUGCUAUGCUUCUGUUGCUAUACUCCAUGCCUUUGGUGCCCUCUCCCUCUAUGAUAAGCCAAAGCUAAGCUACGUAAACAAGUUGAUUGCAUUAUUUGUCACACAACAACACAAUGAUUUAAAUUGAUAAUAAAUACUUUAUUUAUCAAC